UUGUUGGUAAGGUAAAAGCUUACCAAGGCUUCGAUCAGUAGCUGGUCUGAGAGGACGACCAGCCACACUGGGACUGAGACACGGCCCAGACUCCUACGGGAGGCAGCAGUGGGGAAUUUUGGACAAUGGGGGCAACCCUGAUCCAGCCAUGCCGCGUGAGUGAAGAAGGCCUUCGGGUUGUAAAGCUCUUUCAGCCGGAACGAAACGGUUACGGAUAACACCCGUGACUACUGACGGUACCGGAAGAAGAAGCACCGGCUAACUACGUGCCAGCAGCCGCGGUAAUACGUAGGGUGCGAGCGUUAAUCGGAAUUACUGGGCGUAAAGCGUGCGCAGGUGGUUUUGUAAGUCAGAUGUGAAAGCCCCGGGCUCAACCUGGGAACUGCGUUUGAAACUACAAGACUAGAGUGUGGCAGAGGGGGGUGGAAUUCCGCGUGUAGCAGUGAAAUGCGUAGAGAUGUGGAGGAACACCGAUGGCGAAGGCAGCCCCCUGGGUCAACACUGACGCUCAGGCACGAAAGCAUGGGGAGCAAACAGGAUUAGAUACCCUGGUAGUCCAUGCCCUAAACGAUGUCAACUAGUUGUCGGGCCUUUACGGGCUUGGUAACGUAGCUAACGCGUGAAGUUGACCGCCUGGGGAGUACGAUCGCAAGAUUAAAACUCAGAUGAAUUGACGGGGACCCGCACAAGCGGUGGAUUAUGUGGAUUAAUUCGAUGCAACGCGAAAAACCUUACCUACCCUUGACAUGUAUCGAAGCCCGCAGAAAAGCGGGGGUGCCCGAAAGGGAACGAUAACACAGGUGCUGCAUGGCUGUCGUCAGCUCGUGUCGUGAGAUGUUGGGUUAAGUCCCGCAACGAGCGCAACCCUUGUCAUUAAUUGCCAUCAUUUAGUUGGGCACUUUAAUGAGACUGCCGG
rnacentral:rRNA from 1 species